GACGAACGCUGGCGGCGUGCUUAACACAUGCAAGUCGAACGGAAAGGCCCUGCUUUUGUGGGGUGCUCGAGUGGCGAACGGGUGAGUAACACGUGAGUAACCUGCCCUUGACUUUGGGAUAACUUCAUGAAACUGGGGCUAAUACCGGAUAGGAUCUCCUGCUGCAUGGUGGGGGUGGGAAAGUUUCGGCGGUUGGGGAUGGACUCGCGGCUUAUCAGCUUGUUGGUGGGGUGGUGGCUUACCAAGGCUUUGACGGGUAGCCGGCCUGAGAGGGUGACCGGCCACAUUGGGACUGAGAUACGGCCCAGACUCCUACGGGAGGCAGCAGUGGGGAAUAUUGCACAAUGGGCGGAAGCCUGAUGCAGCAACGCCGCGUGCGGGAUGACGGCCUUCGGGUUGUAAACCGCUUUCGCCUGUGACGAAGCGUGAGUGACGGUAAUGGGUAAAGAAGCACCGGCUAACUACGUG
rnacentral:rRNA from 1 species